GAUGAACGCUGGCGGCAUGCCUAAUACAUGCAAGUCGAGCGAAGCGGGGACGGGCGAGUAACACGUGGAUAACCUCCUAUAAUUCUGUGAUAACUUCGGGAACCCGGAGCUAAACCUGAUACUUAUAGAUGGUUCCUCGCUGCAUUUGCUUGUUGGUAAGGUAACGGCUUACCAAGGCAAGGAAGCAUAGUCGACCUGAUAGGAUAAGCGGCCACACGAGAACGGAAGAGCGGACCAGACCAAAACGGUAGGCGGAGGUAGGGAAUCGUCCACAAUGGGAGAAAGCCUGACGGAGCAACGCCACGUGGGGGAGGAAGGUCAUCGGAUCGUAAAACUCUGUUAUUAGGGUAGAGGUACCUAAUCAGAAAGCAACGGCUAACUACGUGCCAGCAGCCGCGGUAAUUC
rnacentral:rRNA from 1 species